CCAUCCUACGGGUGCCGAGUGGGUGCGCGAGCUCAGUGCGCCUGCGAGCCGUCCCUGCAUCCCGCGCGCAUGGGGCGUUACUAACGGACAACUCCUUCCUCUGGGAGCUCAGAUACAGGGAUGCUUCGGGAAUUGUGGAUCCUCUUGCCCGUUAUUGACUAAUCCCCUCGGACCCAGGCCCUGGAGAUGGUGAAGGGACCGGGAGGUGAAUCUAGGUAGCUGCAGCUGUGGUUUUAGCUAAGAACAGCGCGAAACCUAUUGAAGAAUGUGUUUCCAGCUCACCUCAGUUUAAAAAAAAAAAAAAAAGCAAAAAAACCAAACCAAAACAACAAAAAAAAACCUAUCCGGAAUGGACGCACAGACAGAUUCGCUGACUUGACAGUCGAGUAAUAUCGAUCUGGGAAAAAAAAAAAAUAAAACCAAAAACGACAAUUGGUGCACGUUAAUUUGAACCAAAUCUCCUAGGAGCCAAGACUAAAGGAUCAGAGCUCACCAAAGGAGAUUGCAACCCGGGGUACGAGUUCCUGAGAACAUGCUGUAAAUACGCCAGCGUAUUUAAUGUCACUUGGAACCUGCAAGUUAGGUAACAUCCAGAUCUCCUUCCCAAAUGAAGGAUCGUGGCACAGAUAUCCUUGGAUGGCCUGGACCUCAUCGCAUCGAACAGCCUGGCUUUGGACUCAUUGGAGGUCAUAUUGCCUCAGUUUCCAGACUGCUGGAAUUCUAGGCAUGUGCCACCAUGCACAGCUGUGUUCUGUAUUUUGAGACAGGGGCUCACCUUCUAACCCAGCUGUAUUGCAGCAAGCCUCCUGUCUGGUGUGGGUUUUCAGGUGGAUAGAACCACACCCAACUUACUUUCUGAAUCUUAGGAUGUUUUGGCAUUCCCCAAAGCUUGAAGGCUUUGGGGGAGACUUAUGCUUUUAGGGUAGGUCAUUGUUUGGGGCCACAAAAAAAGAACACCCCCCCCUCUACCAGGGGCGUGGCUAACCUAAACAAACCAACCAAUCCUGAGGCUGUGCUCCCAACAACUUCCUGAUUUAAGUCUCACACUCAAACCAGUUUUUCUCUUCCCCAAACUUACCCAGGGCCAGGUAUCAGGCAACCAGAUACCACUCCUGUACCCAAAGUCACUUAACUGUUCCAGUUUGCCAAUGCUGAGCAAUUUGUUGUGCCCAGGUGUGCCUUUUCCUCAGCAACGCCAGCAAAGACUUGACCUCGAACUUUGUCCACAUUCUACUUUGUUGUUGUAAGAGCCCGGGUUACUCUGCACCUUUCCUGGUAGCCUACUGACCUUGAACUUGUGAUUCUCCUGUGACAGGCUCCUGAGCGCUGAGAGCGCUGUGUAUUCUCUCAUUAACUUGUGCUCUACUACUUAGUAGAGUAGUAGAGCCUGGUAUUUCCCCUUGGCCCCGAUUAGCCAUGGGCCACUCCUUCUCUGGGUGGGAUCUGUGACUGUAGAACCAUCUUCCUUCCAAGUUUCCUUCUAUCCCCUCCUGGGGUUGUAAAAUCUUUACCAACCCACCUUCAGCUUCUUCAUCCUUCAUAAGGACAGUUGUCUCAGAAAGGGGCUGUGGGCAUAGGAAAGGUGAUAAGCCAAAAUGCCUUAACUUGCCUUGAGAAAUAGAAACUCAGAGACUAUUGGGAUUCUCCUCUUUCCGUGGAGAUCCUCUUGGUGGGGGACUGGCAACAUGACUACAAGAGUCAGAGGUCCUGGGACCUGAUGACUUGGUCACUACCUGUCACACCAACACACCUCCUAGAGACAAAGAUGAGGGAUUGUUAUUAAGAAAGGAUACUAGGGGCCAGAAGGAUGGCUCAGUGGGCAAACCCUGAUGACCCAAGUUCUAUCCUUAAGACCCACAUGUUAAAACAAGUUGACUCCUCCAGGGUGUCCUCUGAUCUCCACAUGUGCACUGAGGCCUGCAUGCCUACAUACCUUCAACAUUUAGAGAAAGGUCAUUAGGCCAAGGAACAAGCACUGUUGGCAGAGUGCUACCCUAAUGUUCAGGAAGCUGUGGUUUCCGUCUGCCAAACUACAGAAAGUCUGGCUGGGAACUCAGUGCUGUACUCCUGCACUCCAGAAAGUUGGGUAGCUGAAUCAGGAGUUACUGUCUUCUCUGGGGGCACAGUGAAUCCUCUGCCAUCCUGCAUAGCUACAUGAGACCAUGAAAUGCCAUUAAAGGCUCUCUCAGAAUUUCUGCUCAUUUUCAUUCUUUUCAAUCUCUGUGUAUUGUAUAUAAAUGGGGGCAACACAUGACAUGGUGCAUGUGUGCAGGCCACAGGACCUCCCUGGGCAUUGAAUCUUGUCUUUUACCUUUACCUGAGGCAGGGUCUCUUGUUCUCCUUUGCAUAUUCCAGGCUGCCUGCCCUCUUACCCUAGAAGAGCUGGGAAUACUGCUGUACACUAUUCCACUUGCUGGGAUUAGAGGCCCACAUCACCAUCUGCUGGGUUUGACCCUCAUUAUCUUCUGCUACUUUAUCCAAUCUUGGACUUCCCAUUGACCUGCCCACCAUGAAUUAACCUUUCUCUGUGUGGGAUCUGUGACUGUAUAACCAUCUCCCUUCCAAGUCGGCUUCAGGUCCUCUUCGGAUUAUGAAGUCUUUUACCAUUCCACUCCAACACCUGCAUCUUUAGUAUGCUCUGUAGGUGUAGAGGAAAAGGGCUGUUGGGGCACAGGACAGAUAAUGAGCCAGCUAUCUAAUACACCUCAAGAGAUAGAGGGAAGAGACUUGGGACUUCUCUCUGGAGAGAGAUCCUAAUGGUGAAAGGCAGUGAAGGGAAAUGACCCAACACCUGUAAUCCCAGCUCCUGGGGAGGCAGAGGCAGGAGGAGCAGGUCAUCCUGUGCUACACUGCAAUGUUGAGGUCAGCCAGGGCGACCUGAAUCCCAGUCUCAGAAAAGUUUAAAGAAAAAUCAACAAAACAAAGGGGAUGCUCAGGAUGGUAUCCCCACCCCCAAAUCAGGCCACACCCCCACCAGAAACCGGCUGUGACCUGACAGCUCUCAGAGAGUUUGGUUCUCUCUGUCCCCAGUGCAGCUAGAAGCCCAACCCCUCUGAUGUCCAGACAACCUUGACUUGCAGGAAAGCAACACUCUCUUCUCCCAUUGUUCUUUGGAUUUGAACUGUCUCUUUCCCUUCAGGGUUCCCAUCAUGCUGUGGAUGGAGGCUCUUUCCUAUGCUCUCCCAAUUCAAUCCCCAUCAUGGUGGCUUCUAUCCAUGAGCCUGUGGCUCACUCUAAUAAAGCUCUAAAGGUGAAUCACUUCAGCUUUGUUUCCUGUGAUCUUGUCUUUAUCUGUUAUUUACAUCAGGCAGCUUGUCUCUUAGGAGUUGCUAGAGGCAAUUCACAGCUCUUUGAAAAAAUACCUUUAGAGCCAGCCAUGGUGGCCUUGCCUAUCAUAUUAGCACUUAGGAGUUGGAGCCAGAAGGAUCAAGACUUCAGGGUGAUCCUCAGCUAUAGGCCAACCUGGGCCACAUGAUCCCUGAAGACAACAACAAAGGUGGUCUUUUGAGUUGGGGACAGUCAGCCAAGCGACCCUUUCACAGUGACUGCACUGUCUUCAUCACAAUCCCACUGUUUUAUCCUUUCUAAGCACUGCAAAGACCCAGCAGCUUUGGAGGACCACCACAGCCAUGGCUAAAGACUAGCACAGACAGCCUGCACUGACCUGAAAAUCGGCAAGAGAGCUGAGUACACUCUACAUGACCCUCUCUGCAGCUACUUUUAUCCCAGCCAGAAAGGUUCCAAUAGAUAACCUUCUGAAGGCUUGUGAUUGAUGUAACCACAAUCCUUAAUUUGAGUGACACAUUGUGUCAUUGAUAUAAUACCGCUGCCAUACACUAUACCCUGGGUAAAUAACUAGGCUGCAAGCUUAAUUUUUUUUUUAAAGUUUUGAGACAAGAUCUGGACUCAAGCUGUGUUCUUGUGAGCUCCUCAAGAGUCUAGUGGAUGGAUUCUGAUUUGGACAUUUAAGACAUCCUGUGUUCUGACUUCCCUGGGUGCUUCGCCUAGGACUUGUAAAGCAAAUGAUUCCCACCUUUCUGUCUUCAUCGUGACUCCCCUGGCACCAGGCAAGUACUUCUUUUCCUUUCCUUCCUU